rnacentral:rRNA from 1 species
GGGGGACCAUCCUCCAAGGCUAAAUACUCCUGACUGACCGAUAGUGAACCAGUACCGUGAGGGAAAGGCGAAAAGAACCCGGCGAGGGGAGUGAAAAAGAACCUGAAACCGUGUACGUACAAGCAGUGGGAGCACCUUCGGGUGUGACUGCGUACCUUUUGUAUAAUGGGUCAGCGACUUAUAUUCUGUAGCAAGGUUAACCGUAUAGGGGAGCCGCAGGGAAACCGAGUCUAACUGGGCGUUAAGUUGCAGGGUAUAGACCCGAAACC